GAACCUGGGCACAGGUGCUGCAUGGCUGUCGUCAGCUCGUGUCGUGAGAUGUUGGGUUAAGUCCCGCAACGAGCGCAACCCUUGUCAUUAGUUGCCAUCAUUUAGUUGGGCACUCUAAUGAGACUGCCGGUGACAAACCGGAGGAAGGUGGGGAUGACGUCAAGUCCUCAUGGCCCUUAUGGGUAGGGCUUCACACGUCAUACAAUGGUCGGUACAGAGGGUUGCCAAGCCGCGAGGUGGAGCCAAUCCCAGAAAGCCGAUCGUAGUCCGGAUCGGAGUCUGCAACUCGACUCCGUGAAGUCGGAAUCGCUAGUAAUCGUGGAUCAGCAUGCCACGGUGAAUACGUUCCCGGGUCUU
rnacentral:rRNA from 1 species